AGCUCAGUCGGUAGAGCGUUUCCAUGGUAAGGAAAAGGUCAACGGUUCGAUUCCGUUA
rnacentral:tRNA from 1 species